GACGAACGCUGGCGGCGUGCCUAACACAUGCAAGUCGAGCGGGGAUUUAAGUGGAAGUUCUUCGGAAUGGAGAUUUAAAUUCUAGCGGCGGACGGGUGAGUAACGCGUGAACAAUCUGUCCCGGACAGGGGGAUAACACUUGGAAACAGGUGCUAAUACCGCAUAAGACCACGGCCUCGCAUGGGGCUGAGGUAAAAGGAGCAAUCCGGUUCGGGGUGAGUUCGCGUCCGAUUAGCUAGUUGGUGAGGUAACGGCCCACCAAGGCGACGAUCGGUAGCCGGCCUGAAAGGGUGAACGGCCACAUUGGAACUGAGAGACGGUCCAAACUCCUACGGGAGGCAGCAGUGGGGAAUAUUGGGCAAUGGGCGAAAGCCUGACCCAGCAACGCCGCGUGAGGGAAGAAGGUUUUCGGAUUGUAAACCUCUGUCCUAUGGGACGAAGGAAGUGACGGUACCAUAGGAGGAAGCCCCGGCUAACUACGUG
rnacentral:rRNA from 1 species